UACGUAGGGCGCAAGCGUUAUCCGGAAUUAUUGGGCGUAAAGAGCUCGUAGGCGGUCUGUUGCGUCCGCUGUGAAAACUCGGGGCUUAACCCCGAGCCUGCAGUGGAUACGGGCAGACUAGAGGUAGGUAGGGGAGAAUGGAAUUCCCGGUGUAGCGGUGAAAUGCGCAGAUAUCAGGAGGAACACCAAUUGCGAAGGCAGCUCGCUGGGACGUUACUGACGCUGAGACGCGAAAGCGUGGGGAGCAAACAGG
rnacentral:rRNA from 1 species